UCUGAAAAACAAGUUAAUAAACUAAAACUUUCAACAACGGAUCUCUUGGUUCUGGCAUCGAUGAAGAACGCAGCGAAAUGCGAUAAGUAAUGUGAAUUGCAGAAUUCAGUGAAUCAUCGAAUCUUUGAACGCACAUUGCGCCCCUUGGUAUUCCGAGGG
rnacentral:rRNA from 1 species